CGCGGGGUGGAGCAGCUCGGUAGCUCGCUGGGCUCAUAACCCAGAGGUCGCACGGUUCGAAUCCUGCCCCCGCUACCA
rnacentral:tRNA from 1 species